rfam:Salmo salar isolate Sally breed double haploid chromosome ssa15, whole genome shotgun sequence.
CUUCUGCGUUGUUGUAAGUCGCUCUGGAUAAGAGCGUCUGCUAAAUGACGUAAA